rnacentral:rRNA from 1 species
GCCUAUUAGCUAGCCGCCUAAACUAAAAACAACAAACUAUUAUUUAUACCCCCUAAAUCACUCAAUUACAUCAAGUAAACCAUUUUUCCCCCUAAGUAUGGGCGACAGAAAAGGAACUCCCGCGCUAUAGAGGAAGUACCGCAAGGGAAUGCUGAAAGAGAAAUGAAAUAACCUAGUAAAGCCCAAGAAAGCAGAGACUUUACCUCGUACCUUU